rnacentral:rRNA from 1 species
AUUGAACGCUGGCGGCAGGCCUAACACAUGCAAGUCGAGCGGAUGAAGAGAGCUUGCUCUCUGAUUUAGCGGCGGACGGGUGAGUAAUGCCUAGGAAUCUGCCUGGUAGUGGGGGAUAACGUCCGGAAACGGGCGCUAAUACCGCAUACGUCCUACGGGAGAAAGCAGGGGACCUUCGGGCCUUGCGCUAUCAGAUGAGCCUAGGUCGGAUUAGCUAGUUGGUGAGGUAAUGGCUCACCAAGGCGACGAUCCGUAACUGGUCUGAGAGGAUGAUCAGUCACACUGGAACUGAGACACGGUCCAGACUCCUACGGGAGGCAGCAGUGGGGAAUAUUGGACAAUGGGCGAAAGCCUGAUCCAGCCAUGCCGCGUGUGUGAAGAAGGUCUUCGGAUUGUAAAGCACUUUAAGUUGGGAGGAAGGGCAGUAAGUUAAUACCUUGCUGUUUUGACGUUACCGACAGAAUAAGCACCGGCUAACUUCGUGCCAGCCGCCGCCGUAACAC